AGGAUGGUUUUGAAGACAGAACGAUCCUCCUGCUUCAGCCUCCCGAGUGCUGGGAUUACAGGCUUGAGCCACCACGUCCGGCCAAGCACAGUGUAAUUUUGAACAAGAGCUUCUGAGGCCAGUAGUCUCGCUGCAGACUUACUGUUUCUAACCUAUAUGGUGAUGUAGAUGAGGGAUCCAAUUCCUUCAAGUACAGGUUUUCAAAUUAAAAAGUAACCUUAGCAUGCUUCGUAACAUUCGUAUGUGCGUGUUUGGAAAGCAAAAUAUAUUUGAAUAUGCCCACUGACAGACACCCAUGUUAUGCUGAUCUUAACCAUUUUAAACACGUGCGAAUGGUACUUCUGCCUGGCACGUCAAAUACUUGCAGUUAGUAUUUGUGUGCGUGCGCAUGUAUAACCGACUUGCAGUGCUUCCCUGACAGCGUAACGUUCGCUGUCACGUUCACUGCAUUACAGGGCCGCUACACUCACUACACACUGCCUGCUAACUCACUGUACAAUGAAUCACAGUAUCCCUUCCAAAGCCAAUUCAUUUGUCCUAAUGGCAAAGAUUUUUCUUUUUUGGUACCGGAAAUCAAACUCGACCUCGUGCUUGCCACGCGGGCGCGAUGCCACUGAGCUAUACUCCCGGCUGUAGCUAAGAUUUUUAAACAGCUAUGAAACAGUUGUUUGGCCCUAAGUAUAGAGAUUUGCUAGAGUAAUAAAAUUUCCAACUACUUUUAGUCAGGCCAUGAUACUACUUUAUCAGAUUAUUUCCACAGAUGUUUUUGAGUGCUAACACGAGUCUACGCAGAACCCAUACAUAACGUGCUGCCCAUGAUGAGCUCAUUUCCCUGUAUCUGUAAUACCCACAAUCUAAGUGUCCUUCAGAGGUGACCACUGCCAGCUAAUCCUUUAACUUCACCUCAGCAGGAGAAUUGCAACAGCUUUGUAGCUUUUCUUAUUUGAUUUCCCAUACUCUGUCUGGCUUACAACUGCAAGUUCAUCUCCCUUUCAGAACUUAUUAAAAAUAAGCUUUAAUUUAUUCUGCUUGGCUUUUAAGGAAUCUCAUGAUCAGACCUCAAUCCCUCACAGCCAUUGAUGGUUUCACGUAGCUCCAAGACGCACUCUUUCCUCAUCUUGCAGUGAUAGCGCUACUGAAAACGGAAACAUAAUCCAUGCAAGUUAACCAUUAGCUUGUUACCUUCAGAAUGGACGAAAGAGAAAAGGAUCUUCGUCAUCCAACUGUUGGCACAGGUCUAUUGUCCAACCACCCACGACACAUACAUACCACAAGCGACAAAAAGUGGUCAUGCCAAGCGUAAAUCUCUUCGACUUUUCUCAAGUGUACCAAGGACACAACUGCUCCUGCUCAAGGACUAGUUAUGGACUCCGAUGUGCAGAAAUAACACACCUUUGAAAUCUUCCUUUUCAAUCUCCCAGCACUUACUAAUUUCACAGAACACAGUUCUACUUAGUGAAGAACUCAACUCAUACUAACAAACCAUGGGGAAUGUGUUAACUUUUCUAGAAGAGGCAUAUUUUAGAAAACAACCUAGAAGAAUGCUUGAUUCAAGGGCAUAUAUUGCCAGUAGCGGCUCCUGGAGAAUGUGGAAGAUAUUCUGGGAAGAAAGCCUGUUAGUUUUUGAACCCUGGGGAGAGCCUACUUACUUAGCGAGACACCUUUGAUUACUGUAUAACACAUUCACCACACCCAUGUUUUGAAGUAUAAGGCAUGAUCCUGGUACUAAAAACAAAUACAGUAUUAGUUCAAAAUCUAUAAUGUAUAUUGUAUAUCCUUGACUCAUACUUGACCUUCAUUGGAAAAAUAAUCAUUCUAAUUGCAAUUAAUCCCUUAUUUCUCAUGAAGAGACAUAUUAUUACUUCAUGUAUAUUCAUGGCAAUACUUUAAACAUGUUAUUGAGAUGGUA